CAUUUUUUCAUAUAUAUAUAUAUAUAUUCAAAUAAAAACAUUUCUUAAAAACAAUUGAGAACAUUUUUUCAUAGAUAAUUUUCUUAUCUUUCACUCUCUCUAUAUACAUCUCUCCUCUUUCUCUCUCCACAUAUCUGUUCUUUCUCUCUCUACAUAUCUCUCAUAUUUCUCUCUCUACCCGAACCACCGUCACCAUCAAAUACUUCCACCGGAACCACCGUAAUGACAUCGGAACUACCUAACGUCGCCGGAAUCACCGUAAUGACUCCGAAACCAACCUAAUUUCGUCGGAAUCAUCGAGCUGCUUCUUCACACUCUCUGGAUCUGUUUGGUUUCCCGAUAUCAAUUCCCGAUCUCCAGCUCCACUUAUUGCCAUCUUCUUCCUUUAGCAACCACCUCCUCUACCUCUUCACUUACCGGCAUCUCCCUCGCCUCCCUCUGUUUGAGGUAACAGUAGAAGAAAGGAGUGCCACUAGGUCGUUUCACCUGCCACAGUUACCACCUUCGUUCUCUGCGACAAUCUGCUCCAGCAACUUCCUUUGACCUUUGGCCACCGUGACCAACUUCCCAAACUCAAUGUCCACCAGAAUCCACAUGUGGUUCCUCGAAAGAAGUGAAGUAGAAGAGGAUCCAAGUUUUGAAUGCCUACAUGUCUCAGAGGAGCUGGAAAACAAUAGCUGUAUUGUUCAAUCGAUCUUACAAGGGUUAUAUGACUCGAUCAAUGAGCAUAUCAGCUGAUGGACUCCUAUUUCCUAGAUGAGUGGUGGCGAUGAGAUCGAAAGUAGAUGUGGCCUAGGUUUUUCAUCGACAAUUGGUAUGGUGUGGGUGCGGAGGAAACAGGAAGCUACACGAGAACAAAGAACUCAAGAAGUUCGUGGAGCGUUCGAGUCUCACGUUUCUUUAUUUUCUGGUUCCCAAUAUGGUGUUGCUGCUGCGACAUGGAUUUUAGUCUCGAGCUUCAUCGGAGAAGAAAGAUCGCCAGAUAGGGAGCAUCGGUCGGAGAUGAAGAUAACAUUGGAAGAUUAUUUGUGUUGGAUGCGUUUUUCUGGAAAUGAAUUGUGUCGACGUUUAAUAAGGAGGUAAGACGUAAUUUCAAGUUAAUAGUUAGGUCAAAUAUUAUUUGGGCUUAAGUUAAAGCUAAGUUUUGGGCUAUCUAAUUAGUUUAGUAUUUUUAAAACCAAACAUCUAUUUCUUUUGCAUAUUGGAUUCAUCUAAUUAAUACCUUAUUUAAUUUUUGAGAAAUAGAUAACGCAAAA